rnacentral:rRNA from 1 species
CCCUUAGAUGUUCUGGGCCGCACGCGCGCUACACUGAUACAUUCAACGAGUCUAAAACCUGCUCUGAUAGGGGUGGGUAAUCUUUUGAAUGUGCAUCGUGAUUGGGAUAGAUGAUUGCAAUUUUUCAUCUUCAACGAGGAAUGCCUAGUAAACGCAAGUCAUCAGCUUGCAUUGAUUACGUCCCUGCCCUUUGUACACACCGCCCGUCGCUCCUACCGAUUGAGUGGUCCGGUGAGGCUUUGGGAUCUGAGCGGAAAGAGCGUUUCGCUGUUUCUGCUCGGAAAACUCAGUCGAACCUUAUCAUUUAGAGGAAGGAGAAGUCGUAACA